AAAGACUCAAUUUAUAGGUUCAUGUGUUCAACAUUUAACUGUUCGUCUUAUAUAAAUUAUUUUUAUAAUUAGUAUUUUCAUUGUUGUUAGAUGAUAAAAUAUAAAUAAUACUUUAUGUGUGACUUAUCAUUUUAAAUUUUUUUAAAUAAGACGGACGGUCAAACGUUGGAUACGGAAAUUCAGG
rnacentral:pre_miRNA from 1 species